rnacentral:sRNA from 1 species
GGAUCUGGGGGCUUUUAGGGGGUGAGACUCAAGGAGGGUGGGCAGAUGACCCCCUGAAGAGCUCUGACUUAGCUCACCUCAUAUCUGACUCAGCUCACCUCAUGUCUAGGAGGUGAUGUCAGACCUGGAGGAGAGCAAAUACCAGAAUGCAGAGCUGCGGCUCUCCAUUUACGGGCGCUCGAGGGAUGAGUGGGACAAGCUGGCGCGCUGGGCCGUCAUGCACCGCGUGCACUCCCCCAACGUGCGCUGGCUGGUGCAGGUUCCCCGCCUCUUUGAUGUGUACCGUACCAAGGGCCAGCUGGCCAACUUCCAGGAGAUGCUGGAGAACAUCUUCCUGCCACUGUUCGAGGCCACCGUGCACCCUGCCAGCCACCCGGAACUGCAUCUCUUCUUAGAGCACGUGAGCAAGCAGCACAGAGCUGGGUAUGGGGAGGGCAGCCGGCUUCACGUCCAGCUGCAGCUCUGGUUCUGACCCCAGGGUUCUGUAUUAGGUGGAUGGUUUUGACAGCGUGGAUGACGAGUCCAAGCCUGAGAACCAUGUCUUCAACCUGGAGAGCCCCCUGCCUGAGGCGUGGGUGGAGGAGGACAACCCACCCUAUGCCUACUACCUGUACUACACCUUUGCCAACAUGGCCAUGUUGAACCACCUGCGCAGGUGCCUGCACCACCCUGUGUCUGCUUGCUAUGCCGUCUCUCGCCCAACAAAUCUUACUCUUG